rnacentral:rRNA from 1 species
AAGCCUUGAUUUCGGUUGAGGCGGAGAGUGGCGAACGGGUGAGUAACGCGUUGGUGACCUGCCCUUGAGAGGGGGACAACCAGUGGAAACGCUGGCUAAUACCCCAGAUGUUUAAUUGGCUAGAAAGAUUAAACUAAAGCUCCGGCGCUCAAGGAGGGGCCAGCGUCCCAUCAGCUAGUUGGUGCGGUAACGGCGUACCAAGGCGAAGACGGGUAGGGGGCGUGAGAGCGUGGCCCCCCACACUGGUACUGGGACACGGACCAGAUACCUACGGGUAGCAGCAGCAAGGAAUAUUGCGCAAUGGGGGAAACCCUGACGCAGCAACGCCGCGUGGAGGAAGAAGGCCUUCGGGUCGUAAACUCCUUUUCUGAGGGAUGAGGAAGGACAGUACCUCAGGAAUAAGGCCCGGCUAACUACGUGCCAGCAGCCGCGGUAAAACGUAGGGGCCAAGCGUUAUCCGGAUUUACUGGGCGUAAAGCGCAUGUAGGCGGUUAAAUAAGUUGGACGUGAAAGCUCCCGGCUCAACUGGGAGAGGCCGUUCAAAACUGUUUGACUCGAGGGUGGUAGAGGCGAGUGGAGUUCCCGGUGUAGUGGUGAAAUGCGUAGAUAUCGGGAGGAACACCAGUGGCGAAAGCGGCUCGCUGGGCCAACCCUGACGCUGAGAUGCGAAAGCUAGGGGAGAGAACGGGAUUAGAAACCCCGGUAUUCCUAGCCGUAAACGAUGUCAACUAGGUGUAGGAGGUUAUUGACCCCUUCUGUGCUGAAGCAAACGCGAUAAGUUGACCGCCUGGGGAUUACGGCCGCAAGGCUAAAACUCAAAGGAAUUGACGG